GAAAUGCGAUAAGUAAUGUGAAUUGCAGAAUUCAGUGAAUCAUCGAAUCUUUGAACGCACAUUGCGCCCGCUAGUACUCUAGCGGGCAUGCCUGUUCGAGCGUCAUUUCAACCCUCAAGCCCCCGGGCUUGGUGUUGGGGAUCGGCCGCCGCCUCAACCCGGUGGCCGUCCCCUAAUUCUAGUGGCGGUCUCGCUGUAGCCUCCUCUGCGUAGUAGCACACCUCGCACCGGAAUGCAGCCUGGCCACGCCGUAAAACCCCAACUUCUGAAUGUUGACCUCGGAUCAGGUAGGAAUACCCGCUGAACUUAA
rnacentral:misc_RNA from 1 species